rnacentral:lncRNA from 1 species
AUGGGCUCGCUCGCCCCCACAGCACAGGAUGGGGACGCAGUGGAGCUUUGUCAUGGUGAGUCCGGACCCGUAGGGUGACGUCUCGCGUCCAGAGUGGCCUGGCGUCCAGACUGAGCCAGCUCUGGGGGAGGGGGAAAGGGCCAUGGCCACCUGAGCACCACGAUGACCCAGGACGACCGAGGAGACCACUCCUGCCCGGUGGGAGGCCGGAGCCCGAUCCCAGGUUCCCUGUGAGCCAUCGAAGGGGACGCGGGGACUCCAGGAGGCAGCGGGGGCUCCAGACCCCCACCAGCAAGGGGAGCAGGGCUGAGGGACAGGGCUGGAGCACUGCAGGAGCUGCCCCGGCCCCGCAGGGCUGUGUGCGGGCGGCGGCGUGGGGAGACAGGAAGGUGAGCGGUUUCCCAGAAGCCCCUGCAGCCUGCACUCCGCUGCCCCUCCCCGCCAGCCUCUGCCACGCAGCAAGGCCAGUUCUUAGCUCCUGGGCUCCUGCACAUGUGUGCGUGUUGUGCACACAUGUGCAUGUGUCACGUGUGUUCUGUGUGUGCGUGGGCUUGUGCACGUCUGUGAGCACCUGUGUAAACAUGUGUAGGUGUGUCUGUGUGUGUGAGCAUUUGUGUGUGGCUUUCACGUGUUUAUGUGCACAUGUGAGAAUGUAUGUGCGUGUUUGUGUACAUAUGUGUUGUGCGUGCAGUCCGUGUGCAUGUGUGGCCCUGGGCCCCCAGCCUUGGGUGGGAGUCCAGCCCGAGCCUCGCUGGGCUCCAGCCCCAGGGGGAGGCUGCAGCUGGGCGGCCCCCUCCCCUCCGUGAAGGAGGAAGCAGGCAGGCGCAGGUGGGGGCGGCGGCAUGGGGGCCAGGCCCGCAGAGACAGGGUCCCACAGGCAGCCCCCGGGACGGGAGGUGGGACGGGAAAGGUGGCCGGGCGCCAACAGCAGUGAAUGGCCCCUGCCAGGUGGGGCCCAGCGGCAGGCCGGCCCGCCAAGGAUGCAGCGGGGGGAGGGAGGCAGGCCGACCCGCCCACCGAGGAUGCAGGGGGGAGACGGUGGACAGUGGCAGGCCAGCCCGCCGAGGAUGGAGCGGGGGAGAUGGCGGGGACACCGGGGCUGCCAGGGCCCGGGAGAGGCAGGAAGCUGGGACACAGGGCGUGCACCGCGUGCUGGCACGGGUGGACGCGUGUCCUGGGGCCCUCGUCCACACCCAGAGUGACCCUCGUGCAGAGCGCGAUGCCCCUGGCGAAUGCGAGAGGCUGACGCUGGGGCAGGGAGGGCUGGGAAGAGGAGUGGGGGCUCGGCACCUGCUCGGCUCCCCUGCCAGCCGAAAGCCGCUCCGCAAACCGUCAGCUCCCUGUAACACGUCACAGAAAGCAGGAGCUGGGCCGGGGCAGCGGGCGGAGGCCAGCCACGGACACUCCAGCACUGCCACACCCCAAGUGCCCUGGAGUCAACCUCACACACCACACCCAACGCACACAAGGUCACACACGUGCACACGUGCCCACAUGUGCAUGCACAUGUAUGCUCACACCACACGCUCAGCUGUACACGCAAGGCACACAAGGUCAUACAUACACAUGCGUACACCCACACCCUUGCCUGCACACACACUCACAAAACCACACACUCACGUGCUCUGAUGUGUGCACACAUACAUCCACACCACACACUCGCCUGCAUGUGCAAUACAUGUAGGCACAUGCUCACACGUGCUCAGACUGUGUGGUUCAGGGAGCAGCGACAGGCGUGGGCCUCAAGUGUCGAAGUCUCCUGUCCAGGCGCCACGGGCCUGUGGGCGCCCAUGGCCUCCCCUCCCAGGACACGGCCCGAGCCGCCGCCCUGGAAACCUGAAGGUGGUCACCGAUGGCCUGCUCAGAGCAGGGCCUGCGCAGCCGGGGUCAGCCCUCAGCGGCACCGAGGUCCACCCAGCUCCAGGCCCCGGGGCCUCGCGGUUCAUGCUCAGGCUCCCGAGGAUCUCACCGUCAGGCUGGGGCAGUGCUACAGCGCCUGUGCAUGUGUGUCUCUGUGUGCACACGUGUGCAUGCGUGUCAGUGUGCGUGUGUGCAUGUGUGCAUGUAUGUGUGCACGUGCACACACAUGUAUGUGUGCAUAUGUGUGCAUAUGUGCAUGUGUCUGUGUGUACACUAUGUCCAUGUGUGUGUCCUUGUGUGCAUGUGUGUCUGUAUGUGCAUGUAUGUCCACGUGUGCUCUGUGUACAUGUAUGUUCACAUGUGUGUCCAUGUGUGCUAUGGUGCAUGUGUGUCACGUGGUGCAUGCGUGUCCAUGU